CUGGCAGGACUGGCAGACUGGCAGUUCGUCGUGCGCCUCGAAUGUGGUUGCUUCGUUAGUAUCUGCGUGAGAUAAUCUGCUGUUGGAAUACCAGAAGUUCUUGUGUGGUGAAAUUCGUAUAAGUGGUGAAAUUGCGACAGAACUUCCAGCAGAAGAGCUCCCGGUAGUGCUAUGCUCCAAGUGGCGUUUGAAUGUGUGCAAGAAGAAAACGUGAGGGGAAUCAGCAGAAUGGUGUCAGUACCUCUCAACACAUAGCCUGCAGGAAAUGAGUGCAGACACGGCAUGAUUCUUCAGCUGUACUACCUUUCAAAAUGCCACGCACAUGGAUCCAUGAUUUGUCCAAGCAGCAGCUGGAGAGUUUAGCAAGUCAACUAGGUGUAUCGACGGAACGAACGC